AACGCUAGCUACAGGCUUAACACAUGCAAGUCGAGGGGAAACGACAUCGAAAGCUUGCUUUUGAUGGGCGUCGACCGGCGCACGGGUGAGUAACGCGUAUCCAACCUGCCCAUCACUUGGGAAUAACCUUGCGAAAGUAAGACUAAUACCCAAUGAUAUCCCACGAAGGCAUCUGAAUGGGAUUAAAGAUUUAUCGGUGAUGGAUGGGGAUGCGUCUGAUUAGCUUGUUGGCGGGGUAACGGCCCACCAAGGCAACGAUCAGUAGGGGUUCUGAGAGGAAGGUCCCCCACAUUGGAACUGAGACACGGUCCAAACUCCUACGGGAGGCAGCAGUGAGGAAUAUUGGUCAAUGGGCGCAGGCCUGAACCAGCCAAGUAGCGUGAAGGAUGACUGCCCUAUGGGUUGUAAACUUCUUUUAUAUGGGAAUAAAGUUUUCCACGUGUGGAAUUUUGUAUGUACCAUAUGAAUAAGGAUCGGCUAACUCCGUGCCAGCAGCCGCGGUAAUACGGAGGAUCCGAGCGUUAUCCGGAUUUAUUGGGUUUAAAGGGAGCGUAGGUGGACAGUUAAGUCAGUUGUGAAAGUUUGCGGCUCAACCGUAAAAUUGCAGUUGAUACUGGCUGUCUUGAGUACAGUAGAGGUGGGCGGAAUUCGUGGUGUAGCGGUGAAAUGCUUAGAUAUCACGAAGAACUCCGAUUG
rnacentral:rRNA from 1 species